AACGAACGCUGGCGGCAUGCCUAACACAUGCAAGUCUAACUAGACCUUCGGUUCUAGUGGCGCACGGGUGCGUAACGCGUGGGAACCUGCCCUUAGGUUCGGAAUAACUCCCCGAAAGGGGUGCUAAUACCGGAUAAUGUCUUCGGACCAAAGAUUUAUCGCCUUUGGAUGGGCCCGCGUUGGAUUAGCUAGUUGGUAGGGUAAAAGCCUACCAAGGCGACGAUCCAUAGCUGGUCUGAGAGGAUGAUCAGCCACACUGGGACUGAGACACGGCACAGACUCCGACGGGAGGCAGCAGUGGGGAAUAAUGGACAACGGGAGAAAGCCUGAUCCAGCAAUGCCGCGUGAGUGAUGAAGGCCUUAGGGUUGUAAAGCUCUUUUACCCAGGAUGAUAAUGACAGUACCGGGAGAAUAAGCUACGGCUAAAUCCGUG
rnacentral:rRNA from 1 species